rnacentral:misc_RNA from 1 species
UUUCCGUAGGUGAACCUGCGGAAGGAUCAUUAUUGGAUUUUGAAACUUCAGGCUGCUGCUGGCUCUCCUCGGAGGGCAUGUGCACGCUUGUUGUCCAUUAUUUCUCCCACUGUGCACAAAUUGUAGACCUUUCAGUAGGCCUAUGUUGUUUUUCACAAUCUCGGAAUGUAAUAGAAUGGUUUUGAAUCUUGGGAAAUACAAUACAACUUUCAGCAACGGAUCUCUUGGCUCUC